rnacentral:rRNA from 1 species
GAAAAGAAACCAACCGGGAUUGCCUCAGUAACGGCGAGUGAAGCGGCAAAAGCUCAAAUUUGAAAUCUGGCCUCUGGUCCGAAUUGUAAUUUGAAGAAGCGACUCUGGUACCGGCCCUUGUCUAUGUUCCUCGGAACAGGACGUCACAGAGGGUGAGAAUCCCGUGCGAUGGGGUGUCCGGUGCUAUGUAGAGCGUUUUCGACGAGUCGAGUUGUUUGGGAAUGCAGCUCUAAGUGGGUGGUAAAUUCCAUCUAAAGCUAAAUAUUGGCGAGAGACCGAUAGCGAACAAGUACUGUGAAGGAAAGAUGAAAAGAACUUUGAAAAGAGAGUGAAAAAGUACGUGAAAUUGUUGAAAGGGAAGGGCUUGGGAUCAGACAUUGUAUUUCCAUGGCGCUCUUUCGGGGGUGUCCUCUGGGUUUACAGGGCCAGCAUGGGUUCUGCGGGCAAGAUGAGGGUUUGGGGAAUGUGGCUCUGCUUCGGCGGAGUGUUAUAGCCCUGGACACCGGUUGCCACGCGGGACCGAGGAUUGCGAAUCUAGGAUGCUGGCAUAAUGAUCUUAAGCCGC